rnacentral:rRNA from 1 species
AUUGAACGCUGGCGGCAGGCCUAACACAUGCAAGUCGAGCGAGCGGCGGACGGGUGAGUAAUGUAUGGGGACUGCCCGAUAGCGGGGGCUAACUACUGGAAACGGUAGCUAAUACCGCAUACUAUCGGUCAACCCAUAUGGGAUUAGCUAGUAGGUGAGGUACUGGCCCACCUAGGCGACGAUCCCUAGCUGGUCUGAGAGGAUGAUCAGCCACAGUGGAACUGAGACACGGCCCAGACUCCAAGGGAGGCAGCAGUGGGGAAUAUUGCACAAUGGGCGAAAGCCUGAUACAGCCAUGCCGCGUGUAUGAAGAAGGGCCUAGGAUUGUAAAGUACUUUCAGUCGGGAGGCGUUACAAACAGAAGAAGCACCGGCUAACUCCGUGACAGCAGCCGCGGUAAUAC